rnacentral:lncRNA from 1 species
GCAGGAGAGACACGAGCUGUCCCCACUGAGUACAGACUAAAUCGCACCUUCAUGAGCUAAAUAAAUGUUGUCGUUGUAAAUCACCACUUCUGUGUCUUGAUACUCAGCAACCAAUAACCCGAACUUUCCGCUAUUGAAAGACAUAAUCAUGACGGACACAUUCAUUUUCAUUUAAUUCUGCUCUACUGGCUUUUAAAUCUCUCUCACAGUUCCGAAUUCUCAUUACAGGAGAGAAUAAAUUAGAACAAUGUAAAUCUUUUGAUCAGCGUGCCACAUGUAAUGGAAAAGCCCCCAGGUAAAAGCGGUACCCACCGACAUACUCGCCUAGUAUACCUCUGACAUGCAACUGCUGUACAGAGCACCUGACAUUUGUACAACAGGUGGUUGAGCUGGUUCCAAGAAAAACCCUAACCACAGCAGCCCCUGCUUGCAACAGCCACGUUCUUUGUCCCUGCUCCCUUUUGCAUUGCUGUCCCCUGGAUCCCCAGCAAAGCAGCUGGGAGAGUGGAUCACGCUGAGUCCACGUGGAGUACUGGAGCUGUCUUUUCCGAUAAAUUCUGGAGGGAAGGGAAGAAACACCAGCAGAAGCAAAGCUGAGUACUGUGGGGACUUGAACUAUCUGAGGUGGGGCCACGGUGUUGGACCCUCCAGGACGUUCUUGUAGGAUAAGGUCCCAAUCUGUGUUCCAUAUUUUCAACACUGAAUCAGAACUCCCAGAAGAAUGUCAGCUGUGGAGUACGUCACAGCCACUGAAAGGGAGAACGGGUCCCUGAGACAGCAGGAAGUUAUCCCAAAGAUGACAGGGCUGCAGGUAGAGAAGUCAGCUGCAUCUGGACCAGGGUGAGCAAAGUGAGCCUGAGUUGGCUAACUAUAAAGUGAGCUGCCUCAGCGAAGCCCUGUCUGGAGACACAGUGACAAGGACCAUGUUCCUGGACCUGGGCAGGGGUGAACUGAAACCGCCAGUCAUGUCCUGAGUCUUUGUAUAACUGCAGUGGCCAAGUGGAAGAACACACCAGCACAGGUGGUCUACAGGUUGCAAACAAGCUACUUACAAAAACAUGGCAACACCUUUUGUUAACUAGUAUCACAGAAUAACCAGUAUGGCCCUUGGAUAGUGAGGAAGACGAAGAAGAACAUAGGCUGGGAAAAGGAAUACAACCAACUCCAUCCUGGAACCAUUUCAACCACAAACUACACAAAUGCAUUACCCUCUGUCCUGAGGCUAGACUUUCCCCCUCAAAAUAUAGUAUUUACUCUAUCAGAUUUCACAACAAACUCAU